GAUGAACGCUGACAGAAUGCUUAACACAUGCAAGUCAACUUGAAUUUGGGUUUUUAACUUAGGUUUGGGUGGCGGACGGGUGAGUAACGCGUAAAGAACUUGCCUCACAGCUAGGGACAACAUUUGGAAACGAAUGCUAAUACCUAAUAUUAUGAUAAUAGGGCAUCCUAUAAUUAUGAAAGCUAUAAGCGCUGUGAGAGAGCUUUGCGUCCCAUUAGCUAGUUGGAGAGGUAACGGCUCACCAAGGCGAUGAUGGGUAGCCGGCCUGAGAGGGUGAUCGGCCACAAGGGGACUGAGACACGGCCCUUACUCCUACGGGAGGCAGCAGUGGGGAAUAUUGGACAAUGGACCAAGAGUCUGAUCCAGCAAUUCUGUGUGCACGAUGAAGUUUUUCGGAAUGUAAAGCGCUUUCAGUUGGGAAGAAAGAAAUGACGGUACCAACAGAAGAAGUGACGGCUAAAUACGUGCCAGCAGCCGCGGUAAUACGUAUGUCACGAGCGUUAUCCGGAUUUAUUGGGCGUAAAGCGCGUCUAGGUGGUUAUGUAAGUCUGAUGUGAAAAUGCAGGGCUCAACUCUGUAUUGCGUUGGAAACUGUAUAACUAGAGUACUGGAGAGGUAAGCGGAACUACAAGUGUAGAGGUGAAAUUCGUAGAUAUUUGUAGGAAUGCCGAUGGGGAAGCCAGCUUACUGGACAGAUACUGACGCUGAAGCGCGAAAGCGUGGGUAGCAAACAGG
rnacentral:rRNA from 1 species